UGACAGGCUACAACAAUAAUACCUAUGAACAUGUUUACACACAACUUGCAUUUAUUUUCCGUCCCUUAAUGAGCUUCUUAUUCUGAAUGAAGUUGAGAGUGUACAAUUUUUUUAAUUUUCUUUUGGACAUAAUGAUAACAGAAACUGUUCCUGUUGCAGUAUACAAUUAAAUGGAAUUCCUCACAAGAACCUUCCUGUUACAGUAAUAAAAUACGACUUGUGAAAGCAAUGGAGAGAAAUAUAGUUUCAGCAAUUGUUUUUCUUUACAUCUGUAAUUUGAUUUUUCCAUCAUCUGCCCAGAAGACCUGGCAGAAAAUGUGUGAGUACAUCUCGCCUAGAUCAUGUUAUAAUUGUAUGAUACCAAAAGAGUGUUGUUACGUCAACGGCAAAUGGAAGUGUUUAGCCAUAGAUGGAAACUUCGCAAAUGGCGAUUGGAACAUCCUACGGAAUUUUGGCAAUUAUAAAAGGUUGACUACAAAGCGUCCAACUACAAAAGUACCAACGUCGAGGACAGGUUUUGGGUCGAAUGGAGACAAAUCUAUACGUAACAAACGGUCUCGUUCAAACACAACAAUAAAGCCACCCAUGUCGAGGGGAUCGUCUAGAUAUACAAGAAGAGAAACAGGAUACAGAUAUUCAAUGGACAACUCUUAUGAGACGGAGACAAGUUCUGGAACUAUUGCAGUAAUUGCAGAGCCUUUGGUAUUUAUCGUCCCAAUUUUUCUGUCUAUCGUCUCAGCUUGCUAUUUUUGCUGUCGAUACUACGUGAGGGGCGAUAGUACUAAGAAACUAGAAUAUAUCAGACGUAUCCACCAAUCAAGGACCUUACAACCAACCAACGAACAAUCACAGUACCGUAUUAUCGGUUUGCACAAUGACAAUGGGAAUUCAGCUGCUCUUAUUGCAUAUCCAAAGACACAGGAUGGGUGUCGAAAUGAUGAGGAAAGGCUUGACAAUUCUACCUUAGAUAAUGACACUGAAACUAAUUUACCAGAAGAAACAACAUAUACUCCCACUGUUAAUCGGCCAGGAUACGAAGAUAGUAUGAUUGGAAACACAGCUGCCAUUGAUUCUAUAAUCCAGGGACACACAAAGUAGUUGACGAGGAAAGGCUCGCCAAUUCAGACGAUUCAACAUCUAUACCCAAAUAAAUCCGCCAGCAUACAAAGACAUUUUAACUAGCUGUCAUUAACUGCGAGUACGCUCAAAUCGUACUUUCUUGUUUAUUUGACCUGUUGAUACUAAUUGUAAUGCAUUUUUUGUUAUUUAAUGUUAUUCAGGGUUAUAUCUGGUCUAUAUACCAGCUUUUAUAAGUGUUUGGUACUACUAUAAAUUUUCACUUCGUACUAUGAACAUCAAAAUUAUUUAUUUUGUAAAAAUAUUUCCUUUCUCUAUUGGAACUGUACACGUAUACCUAACAACACAAUUGUUUUCAUUUAUCGGUGUUUAAAGUUUUUGCAAAUGGCUGAUAUUGUUGUUCGAGCAUAUUAUUUUUCUUAAAUUGUUUAACAUUUCAUACCGAUAUAACAUGUUACUUUUAUUAUUCUUCCCUUAGUUUAUUUAUUUUGUAUUUACAUUGUAUCAUAGGUCAAAUUUAUUUGUUCAGUGUAUGUUCACUGGUGUUAAUAUGUCCUUUGAUUGAGUUAAGCUAUUUCAGUUGAUAUUUUAUAGUGUGUCUUUCUAUGUUGUGAUGUAACACUAUUGUUUCAGAAAAAGGGUGAAGGUUUGGUACCAUUAAAACGUUUAAACCCGCUGCAUUUGUUUGCACCUGUCUUAAGUCAGGAAUCUGAUGUUCAGUAGUUGUCGUUUGUUGAUGUGGUUCAUAAGUGUUUCUCGUUUCUCGUUUUUUAUAUAAAUUAGACCGUUGGUUUUCCCCUUUGAAUGGUUUUACACUAAUAAUUUUGGGGCCCUUUAUAGCUUACUGUUCGGUGUGAGCCAAGGCACCGUGUUGAAGACCGUACUUUGACCUAUAAUGGUUUACUUUUAUAAAUUUUGACUUGGAUGCAGAGUUGUCUCAUUGGCACUCAUACCACAUCUUCUUAUAUCUAUUAUAAAGGAAUAACGGGUGCAUGUACUUGUAGUUCAUUGCGUUUUCACAUACUUUGUAUUUUCAUCUGUUUUGUGUCUGAGUCAUAAACUUGAAUAAAAUAAACUUUCAAUUUUA